GGAUCCAUCAAGCUUGCUUGGUGGUGAGAGUGGCGAACGGGUGAGUAAUGCGUGACCGACCUGCCCCAUGCUCCGGAAUAGCUCCUGGAAACGGGUGGUAAUGCCGGAUGUUCCACAUGAUCGCAUGUGAUUGUGGGAAAGAUUCUAUCGGCGUGGGAUGGGGUCGCGUCCUAUCAGCUUGUUGGUGAGGUAACGGCUCACCAAGGCUUCGACGGGUAGCCGGCCUGAGAGGGCGACCGGCCACAUUGGGACUGAGAUACGGCCCAGACUCCUACGGGAGGCAGCAGUGGGGAAUAUUGCACAAUGGGCGCAAGCCUGAUGCAGCGACGCCGCGUGAGGGAUGGAGGCCUUCGGGUUGUAAACCUCUUUUGUUUGGGAGCAAGCCUUCGGGUGAGUGUACCUUUCGAAUAAGCGCCGGCUAACUACGUGCCAGCAGCCGCGGUAAUACGUAGGGCGCAAGCGUUAUCCGGAUUUAUUGGGCGUAAAGGGCUCGUAGGCGGCUCGUCGCGUCCGGUGUGAAAGUCCAUCGCUUAACGGUGGAUCUGCGCCGGGUACGGGCGGGCUGGAGUGCGGUAGGGGAGACUGGAAUUCCCGGUGUAACGGUGGAAUGUGUAGAUAUCGGGAAGAACACCGAUGGCUAAUGCAGGUCUCUGGGCCGUCACUGACGCUGAGGAGCGAAAGCGUGGGGAG
rnacentral:rRNA from 1 species